GACGAACGCUGGCGGCGUGCUUAACACAUGCAAGUCGAACGGGGUUAUUACGACAGAGAUCUUCGGAUGGAAGUUGUUUUAACCUAGUGGCGGACGGGUGAGUAAAGCACAAGGACUUGUCCACGAGAGGGGGACAACCCUGGGAAACCAGGACUGAUACCCCGUAAGCCGAGAGGUGAAAGCAGCGAUGCGCUCGAGGAGAGACUUGUGUCCUAUCAGGUAGUUGGAGAGAUAAAAGCUCCCCAAGCCGAAGACGGGUAGCCGGACUGAGAGGUUGACCGGCCACAUUGGGACUGAGACACGGCCCAGACUCCUACGGGAGGCAGCAGUGGGGAAUAUUGGGCAAUGGGGGAAACCCUGACCCAGCGACGCCGCGUGAGGGAAGACAGCCUUCGGGUUGUAAACCUCUGUUGCAGGGGAAGAAGGACGUGACGGUACCCUGCGAGGAAGCUCCGGCUAACUACGUGCCAGCAGCCGCGGUAAUACGUAGGGAGCGAGCGUUGUCCGGAAUUACUGGGCGUAAAGGGCGCGCAGGCGGUAUUUCAAGUUGUCUGUAAAAACGUGGGGCUUAACCCCAUGUCGCAGACAAAACUAGAAGACUGGAGGCGUGGAGAGGCAGACAGAAUUCCUGGUGUAGCGGUGAAAUGCGUAGAUAUCAGGAAGAAUACCAGUGGCGAAGGCGGUCUGCUGGCCACGAACUGACGCUAAAGCGCGAAAGCCAGGGGAGCAAACGGGAUUAGAUACCCCGGUAGUCCUGGCAGUAAACGAUGUAUGCUGGGUGUGGGAGCAGCGAUGUUUCCGUGCCGAAGUUAACGCGAUAAGCAUACCGCCUGGGGAGUACGGUCGCAAGAUUGAAACUCAAAGGAAUUGACGGGGGCCCGCACAAGCGGUGGAGCACGUGGUUUAAUUCGAUGCAAACCGAAGAACCUUACCUGGGCUUGACAUGUAUGUAGUAGCGAAUCGAAAGAGGAGCGACUCAUCCUUCGGGAAGAGAGCAUACACAGGUGCUGCAUGGCUGUCGUCUGCUCGUGUCGUGAGAUGUUGGGUCAAGUCCCGCAACGAGCGCAACCCCUAUUGCCAGUUGCUAACGCGUCGCGGCGAGCACUCAGGCGAGACUGCCAUCGACAAGAUGGAGGAAGGUGGGGACGACGUCAAGUCAUCAUGGCCUUUAUGUCCAGGGCGACACACAUGCUACAAUGGCCGGUACAGAGGGAAGCGAAGUUGGAAGACAGAGCAGAUCCCAAAAAGCCGGUCCCAGUUCGGAUCGCAGUCUGCAACUCGACUGCGUGAAGUUGGAAUCGCUAGUAAUCGCAGAUCAGCCAAGCUGCGGUGAAUACGUUCCCGGGCCU
rnacentral:rRNA from 1 species